UUUUAAAAAAUGACGCCAAUUUUCAUAUCACUUCACGUAGACUCAAAUUAUUUUGCGCAAGAAAAUGAAGCACUCGUUUUCAAUACUAUUUCUACUUUUAACGCUAUCUUAUGGCGUCAAUUCAAGCCAGUUGCCAAUUGUAAUAACGCAGUUGAUAUACGAAUGGAUAAUUUACUUGCCCUUGGAAGCAUUCUCAUCGAUGCAAUACGCACUUUACAGAGUGUGGAUACCAUUGGUGGCUUAUGUGAGAAAUCAAACAAGAGACAGAUUCAGUUUACAAUUGGUUGAUGACGAUGUACCCGACACAAUAUCGGGUCUGCAAGUAACAUCCUUAAGCAUUCUGAAUUCGUUGAAUGUUGCCGUCGGAAUAAUGGAACAACUCGCCGAACUUGCUGCACGAAUCGUCAUUAUGUUGCAAUUCGGGAGAGACACUAUUGCCAAUCUUAAUUAUUAUUAGUUACAAAUUUUAUAUUUCGGUUUUGCACUGAAAUUAUUUACUAAUGAAGCAAAUUAGAAGUCCACUUAGCAAUAGAAUAUGAGUUGCUUCCACUCGCACGAUCCUGAGUGUCACCACAAUUGCACAUAAUAGUUAUAUUUCGUUGUAAUCACUUGCGGGAAAUUAAUUAAAAGAGUAUAUUUAGAGUGAUGCUGCUUAAAGAAAUUUUGUAGUUAAACGUAUGCUGCACGCCGUUCACUGAUAACAAUAAACAACUCACAGCCAAACAAGUUCGAUGGGAUAUCUCCGUUUACCUGGCCUCACACGGACACGAGAGCUGCGCGCACUCCCAGACACCAACAAAAUCAAUUUCUCUUGUUUACAAACAAGAAUUAAGUAGAAAUAGGUAGUUUAUGGUGUCUUCAAAUCGUGUUUUAGUGUUUUAGGAUAGAAUUAAACAGACGUUUUACACAAGAGCACAAAGAAUUAGAGAUGCCAAUAAAUAUAUUGUAAAUGGUUUGUUGUUAUUGAAUAAAAUAUAAUAUAAAAAAAUAAAAUGAACUGUAAAGUAUCGCAUUAACUAAAGUUGAAAUAUACAAGACUUAUUAAUACUA